rnacentral:lncRNA from 1 species
UUUUUUUAGCAUGUUAUAAAAAGACAUUUACAUUUUUGUGAUUAUCUUUAAAAAAAAAUUAGAUUACAAUAAGCAAUAUAAAAAUAACAACAUUUGAACAAGUUUGAUCCAUUUUAAUAGGAAAGUUUACAAAAAAAAAACAGUAAACAAAAAUUUAGGAUAAUAGAAUCUAUGUCACUUGCAUUUUCAAAAUUGCAAAAAUAGCAAACUUAGACUCAUUUGAAUAUGGGAUCAUCUCACCCUUUCAACGAACUUAAAUCUUCCAAUUACAAGAAUAUUAGUGAACGUUAGUUAAGGCUUUUCAUAAGUGUGAGACUCACUCUCAAUAGUAAUAUUUCCAUUCUCUAGUGAAUAUCACUUCACUUGUUGAACUUAAACUCCCCUAUGUUUGAGAAUCCCUUCUCAAGCAAUGUUAUCUUCGGCUCCCCUAAAAUCAAGACAACAUUCACACAAAGUACAUUUCAACGACGAUCUCAAACACAUCUAUCUACAACAAAAUCAUCAUCACAAAGAUUGACAUAUACCAUCCAAUUACCACCGCCAAGAUGAAAAUUUUCCAUAAAAAUAGACUAAAAAGACUGAAAAAAAAUCUAGCUAGCAAGAUAACUUCUAACUCUUAAAUACUACAGCCCGAAGAUGGAAAACAACUUCAUUCUAAAGCAUAAACAAGGAAAGAAACCUUAAAAAAAAACUCAUAGUUGUUCAAAUUUAAGAAAAAAUAAAUCUGGAAGAGUAACAUGUUGAGAGACAUUAUCUUAUGAGACAUCGCUAAAACAAUCUAAGAACCAAACUCAAAAAACUUUCACCAAAUACAUAGCCAAUUCUAAAUAUCUAACAAUUGCAAAAUUAACUCUAAAUCUUUUUUAAAAAGUUUAAAAAUACUCCUAUACCAUCAAUAUGAUAAUGAUACAUUUAAAUAAUAAGAGAGAUUUAGUUACGGUAAAAAGAUUAUUAUUUGAGAUCCUAACAAGAAAACAACAUUCAAAUUUUACUUAUCAAAUUUAGAUGAAAAAAAUACACAAAACUUGUCAAAGAGAUUUUAAAGAACCAUAAAAUUGUGUUCCAUGCAUACACAUAAUUUUUUUUAUUUAAGAUGAUAUUUUCCUUCAAUCAAGAAAUCGACCAUGAAAAGGAAGUUUAUAAAAAUAACAAAAAUGAAAUUAUGAUAUUAGAGUUCAUCAUACUUACAUUUUCAAAAUUUCAGAAAUAACCAAUUUAAAAGCAGAUGAUCAUCUGAUUAUCAUUGAUUACCAUCAUAUUUACCAAAUUUGCAAUAUGAAAAAUAAAGGUGUUAUGAGUUUUUUUUUUUUUUUUUUGUCAUCUAAUGCUUCCCAUUAUGGAAUAUAUAUAUUUUUUCCCUUUAAUUCUUAAAUAAAAUCAUUAAAAAAACUACUCUAUUUUAUGUUAUUUUGUCACUUUUGUAUAAAUUAUAUUUUUUUAAAAAAAAUCCAAUCAUAUUAGUGGUCCAUUUGAAUUGAAUUAAAAAAAUGUUAUUCAAGAAACUAAUUUUUGUUUAAACUAUUUUUUAAAAAAUGGUUGAAAAUUAAUACACUUUAAAAUCUAUUUUGAGUGACUUCCAAACACUUUAGAUUUUUUUUAUCUAAAAUAACUUAUUUUAGAAAUUAAACACUUGAAGAUGUAAUCCAAACACACCAUAAAACUAUGUAUUUUGAUUUGAUUGAACUUUAUAUCUUUAUUUAUUGUGUUUAUAUCUUGAAAUUUUAUAUUUAACAUCCAAACAUAAAUUUUCAUAUAUGAUCAACAUUUGAUAAUUUUGUUUUUAGAUUGUUGGAAAAACAAAUGUUGAUCAUAGUUGUGUCGUGUCAAAACACUGCCCUAAAAGCAAAAAUCGGCGUGACAUCGAUGUUAAAUCGCUUAUGUUGAUUGCUCUCGAAUGUUAACAUAACUUUUCCAACUCAUGCGUGCACACGCUUGAGUUAAGAAUGGAAUCAAAAAGGAAAAUAAUUGCUCAAAGAAUCAGAGGAAAGAAUAGGAUUUUGCAAGAAGAAUAAUUGAACUCUUUAAUCAUAAUUCUUUACACAAUAUAUAUAUUGAUAGAACUAAGACAUGCACAGCGAAAAAAAGAAUCGAAUUUCUACACUAAUUGUCAUAAUUAACAUGUAACCCUAAAACAAUCAAAUUAGGGUUUUAGGAAAUAUUACCUUUGAAGCUUUCAAAAAAACUUCGAUACCUGCUUACCAAUUCAAACCGAUACCACCACUAACACUCAACUACUAUCCUCUGGAUAAACAACCGGGUUGUGGGACCCAAUUUGGUGUAGAAAGUAAUGGAGAUAAAAGGGGAUUGGAAGGUAGAAUGUUUUUUCCUUGGUUGAGAUAUUGGAGAAUGAUAAAAAAAAAGGCAAAAGUUUUCAAUCAUUUGAAAACACCCCUAUUUAUAACCUAAAUACAUGCAAAAAUGCAUGUAAUUAAUUGGUCAAAUCUCAACACCUAAUGUUCCACUAACAAUUAGUGGAACUUAGUGGGCUAGGUGUCUACAUCUCAUAUAGCCACAUAUCCCACUAAGAGUUAGUGGGAUUAUCCAACAAAAUGUUGGAUUUUCCCACUAACUUAGUCCAAGAGUAAAAUGGUCAUUAGAUAUUUCAAGUCAAAAGUCAAGCUUUGACUUUUCUAAGUCAAAAGUCAAUAUUUUGACUUUUACCAUUUUGUC